rnacentral:lncRNA from 10 species
CGCUGAGGGACCCGGCGGGAACAAACCGCCGCCGCGGCGGGAGCUGGGCUCGAGUGGCCGGAGGCGGGCCCUUGUCUUCGCCGCCGCUCCUGCACCCUGUGCUCCCUGAAGCCGCCGCCUUCAGAACGCUCAGCCCCUGGAUGUUAAGGCUCACUCGGGCGCCAGCCGCAGCCAGGGAAGUGGCGGCGGUCCCCACCCGUCCUCUCCCCAAGGCGGCGCCCGGGCCACCGGGCCGAAGCGCAGUGGGAGCGCGAGGCUGAGACGCCGGGACCCACGCCGCCCCAGCGCGGCCCGCCGGCGCCCACCCGAGCCCGCACGGCUUCCAGCCCGAGGGGAGACGCAUUCGAGUGAUCACCAGGAGCGAACUUGGCGCCCGCAGCCUUGGGCCUGGGAGAGGCAAAAGGCCUGCUGGCACCUCUGGCCUGACCGUACCCAGAGACUGGAUCACAUGCUCCUGCUCCAUGCCUGCCUCCCCAGCGGAAUGGAAGCAAUUCCUCCUUGGACCCUAUGAUAGGCUGCAGAGGGGCACGGCUCAGUGAGCAUUUGUUGAGUGCCUGACUGACUACCCUGCUGAAUGAAUAAGUGAAUGAAUGAAUGACCACACCUGUCUGGAAAGCUCCUGAGGGCAAAGCCUGGGCCUCAUCCUCUUGUGGAUCCAGGAGAGCAGUCGCUGAAGAGAAAGAGGAAGAAAAGGAGUGGCUAGAAAAGAAAGUUUAUUUCCACUGCAGGAAGCACUGCCUCCCAUCUGAGAAAUGUCCCAAGCAGGAAUCAGUGCUGCGAUGAACUUAUGAGUGAAUGCAUCAAAAAGACCAAGUUGAACUUAUGAGCGAAUGCAUCAAAAAGACCAAGACUUGAUCCCUUGCCCACAAAGAUACAAGGCUGAGGACAAAGCCAUGAAGGAAAAGCCUCACUGAAGAAGAGGAACCUAAGAGAAGCAGGUUCUGCUCUGAUGAACUCCCAUAAAGGCAUUCCCAUAAAGGUGUGGGCCUGAGUGAUAAUCUAGAUAUGGUACAGUUGACAUCAGGUAUAUGGCGGCAGCCAGAAAUUCAACUUUGUCCAUCAGCUCUCUGCACAACAGGAAAGAUGGUGACCUUCCAGGCUUAUCUGAGGUCCAAGAGUAACAUCACAAACACAGUAACUACACCCAGCCAAAGAAAAGCAUACCUGAAUCCAAGAGAGUAUUUACACUGGCUUCAGGGAUGAGGAAAUAAAGGAGUAAGUGAUUAGGAUCAUUGUUUUCCUUUCUCUUUGGUACAAAAUAAAUGAGCUUCCUUUCUUU